AAGUCGUAACAAGGUCUCCGUUGGUGAACCAGCGGAGGGAUCAUUACCAGAGUGCCCUAGGCUCUCCAACCCAUUGUGAACUUACCAAACGUUCCCUCGGCGGGCUCAGCGCGCGGUGGCCUCCGGGCCUCCGGGCGUCCGCCGGGGAAAACCAAACCCUGAUUUAAUCGUAUUUCUCUGAGGGGCGAAAGCCCGAAAACAAAAUGAAUCAAAACUUUCAACAACGGAUCUCUUGGCUCUG
rnacentral:misc_RNA from 2 species